rnacentral:lncRNA from 1 species
UGGUGCCUACGUCCAGUCCCUUUGAAUUUCAAGGGUUUCCUUUAGAGCUAUGAAGUGGACUCCGGUUGUAUCGAGUUUUGGGAUCUCAUCCUAUCUGAUUUGCAAAUCAGAUUUUCUUUCUUGAUACUACCUCUACUUGUAAACCUACACUCAAAAUCUGUCUUUCUCUUUUAUUUUCAAUUGUUUCACUCACGUGAGUACAAAGCUUUAUGAAAAAUAAAAGAAGAUUAUAAUAUAAGCUCAAGUGAAGUUG